AUACUACUACCGUAUACUAAGAGAUAAAAUAUACGAGUAUAACGAUGGUAUGUAGAAAGUAUUUAAGCGUAUUACCGCUCUAUCUUCUUUUUUAGCUCAGUGAAACAAAAAUUCUCAAAAGAAAAGAACAACAAAAAAUUCACCUGAAAAGAAAAGAAAAAGAGAAGAACCAAUUGUCGUAGAAAUAGCCGGAAAAAGUUCAGCGAUGCAACGUGGAAGUGGCGGAGGCAGUGGAUUAUCCCGGUACCGUUCAGCUCCGGCGACAUGGUUAGAAGCACUUCUCGAAUCCGACACUGAAAACGAAGUGGUUCUUAACCCUUCUUCUCCCAUUUUACACUCACCCAAUAAACCACCACCCCACCCAUCAACUACUCAGCAGCAGCUUCCGGAGCUUGUUAAACCGGAAACUAGGUUCACUGGCGAUCCGGGUCUGUUUGAAUCCGGCGGUAGUAGUAAUUUUCUCCGGCAGCAGAGUUCUCCGGCGGAGUUUCUUUCACAUAUUAACUCAGAUGGUUACUUCUCAAGCUAUGGAAUUCCCUCCAGUUUGAACUAUAUUUCUCAGCCAAUUAAGCGGCCCAGAGAAGAUGAUUCCGAAAGUUCGCCCCGAAAAUUAUCAGCCCACUUGAAGGGAGAGCCAAGUGGACAGUUACGUGGUUCUGGUGGAUCACUGGAUGCUGAAAUGGAGAAGCUCAUGGAUGAUUUGGUGCCUUGUAAGGUUCGAGCAAAGCGUGGUUGUGCUACCCAUCCUCGCAGCAUUGCUGAGCGAGUUCGUCGAACGCGCAUAAGUGACAGAAUAAGGAAGCUUCAGGAACUGGUGCCAAGUAUGGACAAGCUCAUGCAAUUCAUGAUUGGCACUGACUUUUGCUAUCCACAGCAAACCAACACUGCCGACAUGUUGGAAGAAGCAGUUGAAUAUGUCAAGUUUCUGCAGAAACAGAUUCAGGAGCUUACGGAGCAUCAGAAGAAAUGCACGUGUUCAGAGAAGGAUCAAUAAUUUGAAGAAGAGAGUUCCACUAGAGUAUAUAGGCAAUAGUUUGCUCAGAUGUAUGCGCUUUGGACAUGUGUAUUGCAGGGACCAAUUGCCAGCUAUAUUCACUCCUUGUCCCGGUGAGUAACCUUCUUUUCCUGUUUAAAAAAACAGAAUAAAAGUAUUACAAAAUUGAUUUUAGAUGCUCUUGCUAGUUUUAAUUCAGAAUAUGUAGUGUGUAACUAGCAUCGAGAAACCAGUGGUGAUGCACGACCUUUUAAGGAAAAGUGAUACAGUAUUACUUGUAUGCAUUGAUGGCGUAAAUUAUUUACACUAUCAAGUCAUUUAAGCCAAGUACAAGUGACAUUACACAGCAUUUGUAAAUUGGUAGCCUACAAAAUAUGGUAAAUGACCUAUUACUUCCAGUAAUACUGACUUGGUAGUGUAAAAAUUUUGUUACACCGUCUGUGCAUAUAAGUUUAACUCAAAGUGAUUUUAGGCUAAAUAUCAUUAUCUGGUUUAUGAAGAUGAAAUGCUGACACAGCUUAUAUUUAAUUAUACGUUCUGCUCUCGCUCUUGGAUUACGAUUCUUUUUGGUUCAUUUGCAUGCUUCAUUCUUUAGAUUUUGUAUCAACGAGUAUCAUGCGAAACUACAUUGAUUGUGUGCUUGGAAGCUUUUUCAAGAACAAAGGCUUAACUUGUGGGUACAUCUUGAUGAAAAGAAUCGAAUAUGUAGCCAGUUCUGCAUUCUACACUUUUAUCUUCCUUAUAGGUGAGCUAUAUUGACGCAUACUGGUUGAAAGCUGUUGUUGAAGUGAGAAUUAGAGACAACUAAUGUUAUUAUGACUUCGUAAAAUGUGCUUCUGUGUACACGGUUGGAUCUUAGCCAGUGCACGGUGCACGGCCACACUGCUUUCACCUUGGAAGUUCUAUACCUAUAUGUGAAAAGUUCAAAAAAUGUGUGCAUCUAUAAUGAAGUUCACUGCCUCCAACUUUUGGAUCAACCCCCACCUGUUGAGACCGUUUGACCUCGUCCCUUAUGCAUGCUUCAUUCUCCGCUGCAUCUUGAUCUGCCAUAAGUGUUUGCUUUUGUAAAGUAGGUGAGCUUUGCAAUAACUUCUAGUCCUAGUGCAACAUCUUGACCACCAACACACACAUUAUGGGUGUGUGCGCGCGCACAAGCUCUACAAAAAGAGACAUGGUGUAUUUUUCUAAUUCUGAAUUGAGAGGUUUUUGUUUCAUUGUAAUUUGAAAAUUGGUAUGUAAACAUGAAAUCCAAGUGUGUUAAGAUGCAGAAUAAUAUCAAACGGCGACAAUAUACCUAGUAUAUUCCCACAAUAUGAGGUGGGGAGGGUAAUGUGUACGCAGAUUU